AUGAAGCAAUUUAAUGCAGAGUCUCGCAUCUGAUACAUAUAUCAGGGCUGAGAUUUGAAACCAGGCGUCAUUGACUCCAAACGGCAUCGUCCGUCCUCCAUGACAAGCCGAUUACCGUCAUGCAACACCACGAAGGGCAGGACAUACUAAAACCUCUUUGAAUUUGCAAAAAAACAGAGACGCUGGGACACUGAGUGAUGUUUCCCAGCAGGAUACCUGAUCUCCCAGGCCAGUGCCUUUUCCACACCGGGACACAUAGAGCCAAAACUCAAAGACAUCUUAGAUACCCUCCAUGGCUCCAGAUAAUUCUGACUAAAAGAACAUGAAACUUGAAGACUAUGGUCCUGGGUUCGAGCCCCAACUCUACACCAACUCUUCACCAUCUCAUGCAGUGUGACCCUAGGAGUCAAUUGUUAAACACUAACCUGUACUCUAGUGGACCUUGAAGACCACUUAGUCCAAUGUUCUCAUUUUAGAAAUAAAGGAAUUGAGGUCAAGACAGAAAGAACCUCCCCAAGGUCACACUGACCUAGCAGCAGAGAUGAAACUUGGACCUGGGUCUCCUGACAUUUAACAUUCUUUCCACUGCAACAAAUCAUGAG